AUACGGAGGGUGCAAGCGUUAAUCGGAAUUACUGGGCGUAAAGCGUACGUAGGCGGUUUAUUAAGUCAGAUGUGAAAGCCCCGGGCUUAACUUGGGAACUGCAUUUGAAACUGGGUAACUAGAGUUUAGUAGAGGGGAGUGGAAUUUCAGGUGUAGCGGUGAAAUGCGUAGAGAUCUGAAGGAACACCAGUGGCGAAGGCGACUCCCUGGACUAAAACUGACGCUGAGGUACGAAAGCGUGGGUAGCAAACAGGAUUAGAAACCCCAGUAGUCC
rnacentral:rRNA from 1 species